rnacentral:rRNA from 1 species
CACGUAGGGGGCGAGCGUUGUCCGGAUUCAUUGGGCGUAAAGGGCGCGCAGGCGGCCAGGUAGGUCGGUUGUGAAAACUGGAGGCUCAACCUCCAGACGUCGACCGAAACCAUCUGGCUAGAGUCCGGAAGAGGAGAGUGGAAUUCCUGGUGUAGCGGUGAAAUGCGCAGAUAUCAGGAAGAACACCCGUGGCGAAAGCGGCUCUCUGGGACGGUACUGACGCUGAGACGCGAAAGCGUGGGGAGCGAACAGG